rnacentral:rRNA from 1 species
UACAGAGGGGGCUAGCGUUGUUCGGAAUUACUGGGCGUAAAGCGUGCGUAGGCGGUUUGCCGUGUCCUGUGUGAAAGCCCCGGGCUCAACCUGGGAAUUGCAUGGGAAACUGGCAGGCUUGAGUGUGGCAGAGGAGGGUGGAAUUCCGCGUGUAGCAGUGAAAUGCGUAGAGAUGCGGAGGAACACCGAUGGCGAAGGCAGCCCUCUGGGCCAACACUGACGCUCAGGCACGAAAGCGUGGGGAGCAAACAGG